GACAGAGGGUGCUAGCGUUGUUCGGAAUUACUGGGCGUAAAGGGCGCGUAGGCGGCUCGUUUAGUCGGGUGUGAAAUCCCGGGGCUCAACCCCGGAACUGCAUUCGAUACUGGCGGGCUAGAGACCGGAAGAGGUGGGUGGAAUACCCAGUGUAGAGGUGAAAUUCGUAGAUAUUGGGUGGAACACCGGUGGCGAAGGCGGCUCACUGGUCCGGUUCUGACGCUGAGGCACGAAAGCGUGGGGAGCAAACAGG
rnacentral:rRNA from 1 species